rnacentral:tRNA from 1 species
ACUUAUAUAGUUUAAAAAUAAACAUUUCAUUUUCAAUGAAAAAAUAGAAUAUUCUUAUAAGUU